UAGGGAAUCUUCGGCAAUGGACGGAAGUCUGACCGAGCAACGCCGCGUGAGUGAAGAAGGUUUUCGGAUCGUAAAGCUCUGUUGUUAGAGAAGAACGUUGGUAGGAGUGGAAAAUCUACCAAGUGACGGUAACUAACCAGAAAGGGACGGCUAACUACGUGCCAGCAGCCGCGGUAAUACGUAGGUCCCGAGCGUUGUCCGGAUUUAUUGGGCGUAAAGCGAGCGCAGGCGGUUCUUUAAGUCUGAAGUUAAAGGCAGUGGCUUAACCAUUGUACGCUUUGGAAACGGGAGGACUUGAGUGCAGAAGGGGAGAGUGGAAUUCCAUGUGUAGCGGUGAAAUGCGUAGAUAUAUGGAGGAACACCGGUGGCGAAAGCGGCUCUCUGGUCUGUAACUGACGCGGAGGCUCGAAAGCGUGGGGAGCAAACAGG
rnacentral:rRNA from 1 species